rnacentral:RNase_P_RNA from 2 species
AGAGAAGAUAAAAUGUCUGCCCACUACCUAUUUGAAUUUUUCAAAAAGGUAGUGGGAGGAAAGUCCGAACACCAGAGGGCGGGAUACUUCUUAACGGGAAGUUCUGGUAACAGAAAGCCAGCUCCACAGAAACAAACCUCCUGACCACUAAAAUGGGCUUGUAAAAAUUUUCUUUUUUAGUGGUCAGGAAAGGGUGAAAUGGUAGUGUAAGAGACUACCGGAUCCGGAUGUGAAUCUGGAUGCCAGGAAAGCCUUAUCCGGUGCAAUGCCAAAUACAGGAGCUUGAGUUGGCCCGGCUCAUUAAGUUCCGGGGUAGGCAGCUAAAAUCGGUCUUUAUUGAGCUCAUUUGAGCAUAGCAAUAUCCGAUUUAGAGAAAUAGACAUUGAGUUAUUUAUUAGAUAACUUACAGAAUUCGGCUUAAUAUCUUCUUUGACA